CUUAUAAUGUAAAAUAAUGGAAAAAAAUUUCUCGAACUCAAAUUUUGUGAACCAGGGGGGUGUGUCUUUUCCAACAAACUAAAAAUGGCUCGCGCACAAAAUUUAAAAGCUGCAAUCAUAUUUUAAGUUAACAGAUGGAAAAUGUGUCGGGUUUUUAAUUACUGUACAAAAUUUCAGACAAUUUGGUUUAGUUUAAGCCCCUUAACUAUUCACGCAAAGUUACAAUUUUCCCGAAAAAUCAGCUAUUUGCAUGCUUAAUUAAUGCAUUUGCCUAAUUUGCAUAUGUCACCAAUAUGCAAAUUAGGUAAAGGCAUUAAUUAAGCAUGCGAAAGGCUGACUUUUUAGAACAAAAUGAA